UACCAGGUAUUUUGUUUUAAACUGCAAAUACCCCCGUCGAUGUGGCUGGUCGUCAUAGCGACGCCGCCGAAACUGCCGUGACGUCAUCUGCAACGCGACACACAGGAACAAUGGAGGAUAUUGAAGGGAUGGUGUUCUUGAUUCUCGGUAUGUGGCUGUUUGUCACAACGAGGAGACACAUUUUGUUUCAGAAGAGGCUGAAGGCAGUAAGACAAAAGACUGCUGAAAAAAACAGGAGAGUUUGGGAAAUCUUACAUCAGAGUUCAGACGACGAGACGACUCUGGUUUCUCAAAGGCGACGCAAGAUGAUCUUUCACUAUUUGCAAAGUCGCCGCCGCCGACCGUCUGUUUGGGCGUUCAACCGAGCUACCGAGUGGUGGGAUGUGAUUGUUCCCGGCUUCACUAACACUCAGUGGCUGCAGAACUUCAGAAUGUCCGAGGAAACAUUUAUCUACCUGUGCAACAAACUGCGUCCAGUGAUGGAGAGACAGGACACAAACUUCCGCGGGUGUGUACCUCUAAAGAAGAGAGUGGCCAUCGCACUGUGGAAGCUUGCGACCGGCUCCGAGUACAGAAGCGUCGGCCAUCUUUUCGGAGUAAGCAUAACAACUGUGUGCCGGUGUGUGCAAGAGUUCAGUGCUGCUGCAGAGACGUUGUUGGUACCGGAACAAAUUCGUUUCCCAGACCAGGAGAAGUUUGAAGAAAUGGCUGCCUACAUUGAGAACAUGUGGGGGCUCCCACAGUGUAUUGGUGCUAUUGAUGGAUCACACAUACCCAUCUUGGCACCACAGGAGUACCACUGUGACUAUUUAAACCGUAAUGGGUGGCACUCCAUCAUCCUUCAAGGUGUUGUAGAUGGAAAGGGACUUUUCUGGAAUGUGUUUGCAGGACUGCCUGGGAGCUUGGAUGAUGCUCAGGUUCUGAGACUGUCCACAUUGUGGGAUUUGGCCAGCCGUGGCAACCACUUUCCAGCUUACACCAGGAACAUUGGUGGGGUGAAUAUUGGUUACUACAUCCUAGGAGACUCUGCCUAUCCCUUGCAGAACUGGCUCUUAACACCAUUCCCUGACACUGGACAGCUGACAGCAGAACAGCAGAUCUACAAUAAGAAAAUCUGCAGAGCACGAGUAGUGGUUGAAAAUGCUUUUGGUAGACUGAAGGGAAGGUGGCGUUGCCUCAUGAAAAGGAAUGACUGUGAUGUCAAACUGGUGAAAUCUAUGGUGCUGACUUGCUGUGCUCUGCAUAACCUUUGCGAGAGUCAGGGAGAGGCCUAUGACAAUGAGUGGGAUGCACCUGCAGCAGCAGCAGCAGCAGCAGAGCCUGUGGUGGCACUGUUAGAGGGUGUAGAGGAGGAGGGCAGGGAUGUACGAGAGGGUCUGAUGCACUACUUGAAUAGCUAAAUAUUAAUUUUGUCUUUCCUGUCAUGUGUAUUUAACAUGUUGUAAAUUGUAUUGAACAUAAAUCUUUUGUACUAUCUUUCCACAUAUAAAUGUACCCCCAUGUUUUUGUCAAACUGUUUUUUUUUUAAAGGUUAUCAGGAUUUACUAUUUGUUAAAUUAAAUGCUAAAGCCCUUGAAAUAGGAAACCAUCAUGAAAAUGCAUGUGUAACAAGUAACAAAACAGUUUAUUUAACAAACAAUGCAAAUAAAAAAGCAAACUAUAUACAUAAAUAGAACAAUGUAAAUUUUCAAAUGCAAACAAAUCAGAGCAACACGGCAAACUAUGUACAUGAGUUAAAUGUUAUAUGUAUAUAUGUUAUAUGCAAAUACAAAUGAGUGCAAAGUACAAACUAUAUACAUAAGGCAUGAGGGCUCUAGUCCAGGGGUGGAGGAACCGGGUCUAGUCCAGGGGCGGAGCCGCCGGGUCUAGUCCAGGGGCGGAGGAACCCGCUCUAGUCCAGGGGCGGAGGAA